GACAGAGGGUGCAAACGUUGCUCGGAAUCACUGGGCGUAAAGGGCGCGUAGGCGGGAAUGUAAGUCGGGCGUGAAAUCCCCAGGCUCAACCUGGGAACUGCACUCGAAACUGCGUUUCUUGAGUAUCGGAGAGGAAAGCGGAAUUCCUGGUGUAGAGGUGAAAUUCGUAGAUAUCAGGAGGAACACCAGUGGCGAAGGCGGCUUUCUGGAC
rnacentral:rRNA from 1 species